rnacentral:rRNA from 1 species
CAGCAGCCGCGGUAAUACGGAGGGGGCUAGCGUUGUUCGGAAUUACUGGGCGUAAAGCGCACGUAGGCGGCUUGGUAAGUUAGAGGUGAAAGCCUGGAGCUCAACUCCAGAAUUGCCUUUAAGACUGCCGAGCUAGCAGGUGAGAGAGGUAAGUGGAACUCCGAGUGUAGAGGUGAAAUUCGUAGAUAUUCGGAAGAACACCAGUGGCGAAGGCGGCUUACUGGCUCAUACUGGACGCUGAGGUGCGAAAGCGUGGGGAGCAAACAGGAUUAGAUACCCCGGUAGUCCCUGUCUCUUAUAC